rnacentral:rRNA from 1 species
GCUACGGGUGGCAGCAGUGAGGAAUAUUGGUCAAUGGGCGAGAGCCUGAACCAGCCAAGUCGCGUGAGGGAGUACUGCCCUAUGGGUUGUAAACCUCGUUUGUCGGGGAGCAACAGCCGGACGUGUCCGGCUGUGAGAGUACCCGAAGAAAAAGCAUCGGCUAACUCCGUGCCAGCAGCCGCGGUAAUACGGAGGAUGCGAGCGUUAUCCGGAUUUAUUGGGUUUAAGGGGGGCGCAGGCGGAUUUUUAAGUACGCGGGCAAAUCGUGGGGGGCACCCCCCUACAGCCGUGGAAACUGGGGAUCUAGAGUGUGCGAGAGGUAUGCGGAAUGCGUGGUGUAGCGGUGAAAUGCAUAGAUAUCACGCAGAACCCCGAUUGCGAAGGCAGCAUACCGGUGCACAACUGACGCUCAGGCACGAAAGCGUGGGUAUCGAACAGGAUUAGAUACCCGAGUAGUC